ensembl:lncRNA LINC01500 long intergenic non-protein coding RNA 1500
GCCUGAGUUCCAUGCUAUAAUCAGAAAUAUGUGGCACAUUUUGAACAAAGGAAAUAUAUACCCAACAAAGUGUUAAAAUGGAGCUGCCAACCAGACAAACCCUAGAAAUAUGUAGCCACUUACAGGCAGAACACAACUACAUGUGUUCCCAAUGUGGAAGGCAUUCCGGAAGUGUAUGCAUCCACAUUUCUACAUGAGGCAUCGCCUAUGCAGGCAAUCAAAGGAUGUUGAUGGAUAAGUGUUUCAGGCAGAAUAAUGGCCCUCAAAGAUGUUGACACCAGAAUCUUCAGAACCUUUGCAUAUGUUACCUAACAUGACAAAAGGGACUUUGCUGAUGUGAUUAAGGUUAAGAACUUUGAGAAGGGAAGAUUAUCCUGGAUUAUACAGCUAUUUAUUAUCUACUCUGCACCAAUCAUCAGAUGUAGUGGUGAAAAGAUGGACAAAAUUUCUACUCUCAGCUUACAUUUUGGUGAUGGGAGAUGGACAAUCAACCCAGGUCAAUGACAGAUGCUGGAGCAGAACACAUAGACAUACAGGUCGACGUUUAUUUCUUUCUGAACUUUCCUGGAGGAUCAUCGGCCAUACUCCAGCAGAAGGGUGGAUUUGAAAAAAUAACCCUGGUAAUAUCCCAGAAAGGGAUUUCUCCAUCAGCCUAGAUCCCAGAAUGAAGAUUAGGUAGAAUCAAAGAGCCAAGAGCCUCAGCCAACGAUGAAGGAAGGAAGACGUUGGAGAAUUCACAUGCUAUUUUAGCUGGCUCUGUGAUUGCAAUCACACAAAUCAUUACAUUCCAGCGAGAUCCCAUCAACAGAAGGUUUUUCCAUUUCAGUCUGUCAAGUUUUUCAGGCAUGAAUACUGUAAGCAAGAAGAGAAAAGUUACAAUAAAUUGACAUUUAUAGUUGA